rnacentral:rRNA from 1 species
GAUGAACGCUAGCGGCAGGCCUAAUACAUGCAAGUCGGACGGGAUUGGAGAGCUUGCUUUCCAUGAGAGUGGCGCACGGGUGCGUAACACGUAUGUAACCCACCCUUGUCAGGGGGAUAGCCUCUCGAAAGAGAGAUUAAGACCGCAUAACAUUAUUUUAUAGGCAUCAUAGGAUAAUCAAAUAUUUAUAGGGACAAGGAUGGGCAUGCGGAACGUUAGCAGUUGGUGAGGUAACUGCUCACCAAGGCUACGAUGUUUA